rnacentral:lncRNA from 1 species
AACAUAUUCUUCAUUUUCUAAUCUUUGUAGAUGGUGUGCUUGAACAUUUUUUUUAUCAUGUGUAUACCUUUGUGGAUGUCAUGCUUGAACAUCUUCUUCAACCUUGUUUAUCCUUGUUGAUGUCAUGUUUGAACAUCUUCUUUACCAUUUUUUUUAUCUUUGUUGAUGUCAUGCUUGAACAUCUUAUCUAUUAUGUGUUUAUCUUUGUUGAUAUCAUUCCUGAACAUCUUCUUCAGUUGCUUACCUUUGUGGAUG